GAGAGAGACGCAGAGAGGGAGAGA
rnacentral:misc_RNA from 1 species